UACGGAGGGUUCAAGCGUUGUUCGGAAUUACUGGGCGUAAAGAGUUCGUAGGCGGAUAAGCAAGUAAGAGGUGAAAGCCCAGGGCUCAACCCUGGAACGGCCUUUUAAACUGCUUAUCUAGAGACCGGAAGAGGUUAGGGGAAUACCUAGUGUAGAGGUGAAAUUCGUAGAUAUUAGGUGGAACACCAGUGGCGAAGGCG
rnacentral:rRNA from 1 species